GAUGAAGAACGUAGCGAAAUGCGAUAAGUAAUGUGAAUUGCAGAAUUCAGUGAAUCAUCGAAUCUUUGAACGCACAUUGCGCCCGUCAGUAUUCUGGCGGGCAUGCCUGUUCGAGCGUCAUUACGCCCCUCAAGUCCCCUGUGGACUUGGUGUUGGGGAUCGGCGCGGCUGGUUUUCCAGCACAGCCGUCCCUUAAAUUAAUUGGCGGUCUCGCCGUGGCCCUCCUCUGCGCAGUAGUAAAACACUCGCAACAGGAGCCCGGCGCGGUCCACUGCCGUAAAACCCCCCAACUUUUUAUAGUUGACCUCGAAUCAGGUAGGACUACCCGCUGAACUUAAGCAUAUCAAUAAGCGGAGGA
rnacentral:misc_RNA from 1 species